CCUACGGGUGGCAGCAGUGGGGAAUAUUGGACAAUGGGCGAAAGCCUGAUCCAGCCAUGCCGCGUGUGUGAAGAAGGCCUUCGGGUUGUAAAGCACUUUCAGUGGGGAAGAAAGCCUUGGGGCUAAUACCCUCGAGGAAGGACAUCACCCACAGAAGAAGCACCGGCUAACUCCGUGCCAGCAGCCGCGGUAAUACGGGAGGGUGCGAGCGUUAAUCGGAAUUACUGGGCGUAAAGCGCGCGUAGGCGGUCUGAUAAGCCGGUUGUGAAAGCCCCGGGCUCAACCUGGGAACGGCAUCCGGAACUGUCAGGCUAGAGUGCAGGAGAGGAAGGUAGAAUUCCCGGUGUAGCGGUGAAAUGCGUAGAGAUCGGGAGGAAUACCAGUGGCGAAGGCGGCCUUCUGGACUGACACUGACGCUGAGGUGCGAAAGCGUGGGUAGCAAACAGGAUUAGAUACCCGGGUAGUC
rnacentral:rRNA from 1 species